rnacentral:lncRNA from 10 species
GAAAUGGAGUCUCACUUUGUCACCCAGGCUGGAGUGCGGUGGUGUGAUCUCGGCUCAUUGUAACCCCUGCCUCCCGGUUCAAGCAAUUCUCCUGCCUCAGCCACCUGAGUAGCUGGGAUUACAGGCCCCACCACCCCGCCCAGCUAAUUUUUGUAUUUUUAGUAGAGAUGGGGUUUCACCAUGUUGGUCAGGGUGGUCUCGAACUCCUGACCUCAUGAUCCACCUGCCUCAGCCUCCCAAAGUGCUGGGAUUACAGGCGUGAGACACUGUGCCAGGCCAACAUUAAUAGCACACUAAUGUAAAGAUGAAAUUGGGCUUAUUUGGUAUAAAAAUUAUACAGAAAGCACUGUUAAAUAUGAAAUCAUGUUUGGCUUUCUUUGGGCUAUAUUUGUAUAAAUACAUUGUUGGUAUGUGUUCCAAAGUUAUGGGAAACUCCUAUAAUUCUAUUUUAGUGUAUGUUAUCAGUAAUAAUUAUAAUUGUUAUGUUAAAUUAUUUUGUACCACAGAGUUAACAGAUUUCCUUGUCAAUUGUGUCUUUAACUAUGGCUACCCUAAAACUUUUUGUCAUCCAUAAACAAUUGUCUUGUUUCAGUCCUCUUUAGAAGGCAGUUUUAUAGGCUAGACACGGUGGCUCAUGCCUGUAAUCCCAGCACUUUGGGAGGCCGAGGCAGGUGGAUCAUAAGGUCAGGAGUUUGAGACCAGCCUGGCCAACAUGGUGAAACCCCAUCUCUACUAAAAAUACAAAAA